CAGUCGCCGCGGGAAUACGUAGGGUGCAAGCGUUAAUCGGAAUUACUGGGCGUAAAGCGUGCGCAGGCGGUUAUAUAAGACAGAUGUGAAAUCCCCGGGCUCAACCUGGGAACUGCAUUUGUGACUGUAUAGCUAGAGUACGGCAGAGGGGGAUGGAAUUCCGCGUGUAGCAGUGAAAUGCGUAGAUAUGCGGAGGAACACCGAUGGCGAGGGCAGCCCCCUGGGCCAACACUGACGCUCAUGCACGAAAGCGUGGGGAGCAAACAGGAUUAGAUACCCCUGUAGUCCCUGUCUCUUAUAC
rnacentral:rRNA from 1 species